rnacentral:rRNA from 1 species
UACGAAGGGGGCUAGCGUUGCUCGGAAUCACUGGGCGUAAAGCGCACGUAGGCGGAUUGCUAAGUCAGGGGUGAAAUCCUGGAGCUCAACUCCAGAACUGCCUUUGAUACUGGCGAUCUUGAGUCCGGGAGAGGUGAGUGGAACUCCGAGUGUAGAGGUGAAAUUCGUAGAUAUUCGGAAGAACACCAGUGGCGAAGGCGGCUCACUGGCCCGGUACUGACGCUGAGGCACGGAAAGCGUGGGGAGCAAACAGG